rnacentral:tRNA from 1 species
GCGGAAGUGGCUCGGCGGUAGAGCAUCGCCUUGCCAAGGCGAGGGUCGCGGGUUCGAUUCCCGUCUUCCGCUCCA